UUUUUUAACAAAAUCAAAAUCAAAAUUCCCAUAAAUAAGAAACUGGAAAAUAUUACAAUUAUUCAACACAAUCAAAAUCAUCCAUCAUAGAAGUAACAAUUUCCAGCUGAAUUAAUUACAAGGAAACUAUCAUUACAGAGAGUCAGAGACAGUGACAUUGUUUUUUGCCUAAAACAAGAGAAGAAUCAUGAACAAAUAAAGCCACAAACUGGAGAAUCGUUCAAGCCUCAAAAGCAAGCAUCCAGAAGGCAACAACAGCAAAGUGCCGCUAAGCAUCCUUCAAGGAAACCAGUCUCUUUCCUAGGAGGAGGCUGGGAGUACCCUGGAGCGUACCCUUGAGGCGGGUAUCCUCCCUGCGGAUAACCUUGAACAGGAUACCCAGGUGGUGGAUAUGCAUCUUUUGGAUACCCUGAAAAUCAACAGUUGCCAAAAACAAAUUAAAAACCCAUCUCCAAAACCAAAACUUAAGAUCCCUAAAACAAUCGAACCUCCACACCUUGUGGCGGAGGAACACCCACGGGAGGCUGCUGCUGCUGGUUGUAAUAACUCAUUUUUCUUUCCCCUCUGUGAAGCCCUGAAGCCUUUUCUUUCGGAUGACUAACAGGGUAUUACAAUAUUUGGGUUUACAAAUCCAGGAAGUAUGUUUUAUAGAGAAAGAUAGCGUGUGAGUGUAAGGCGGCCAGCAAAGGAGGAGAGGCUUAGGGGAGGUUUCCAGUUUUCUUCAUAAGGAGGGAUUCUAGACCGACAUCGUAAGCGGAGAGGCAAAUGGGCAAGGUGAACCGGUGUAGGCUUU
rnacentral:misc_RNA from 1 species